AUAUACGACCGUACCGCAAACCGACACUGGUGCGCGAGAUGAGUAUUCUAAGGCGCUUGAGAGAACUCAGGAGAAGGAACUCGGCAAAUUGACACCGUAACUUCGGAAGAAGGUGUGCCCUAUUAGUGUGUAGUGAACAACGAAGCAUGAAUGGGUUGCAAAAAAUCGGUGGCUGCGACUGUUUAUUAAAAACACAGCACCCUGCAAACACGAAAGUGGACGUAUAGGGUGUGACGCCUGCCCGGUGCUGGAAGAUUAAAUGAUGGGGUGCAAGCUCUUGAUUGAAGUCCCAGUAAACGGCGGCCGUAACGAUAACGGUCCUAAGGUAGCGAAAUUCCUUGUCGGGUAAGUUCCGACCUGCACGAAUGGCGUAACGAUGGCCACACUGUCUCCUCCUGAGACUCAGCGAAGUUGAAAUGUUUGUGAUGAUGCAAUCUCCCCGCGGAAAGACGGAAAGACCCCAUGAACCUUUACUGUAGCUUUGUAUUGGACUUUGAACAGAUCUGUGUAGGAUAGGUGGGAGGCUUUGAAGCAGGGUCGCUAGAUCUUGUGGAGCCAACGUUGAAAUACCACCCUGGUGUGUUUGAGGUUCUAACCUAGGCCCAUUAUCUGGAUCGGGGACAGUGCAUGGUAGGCAGUUUGACUGGGGCGGUCUCCUCCCAAAGCGUAACGGAGGAGUUCGAAGGUACGCUAGUUACGGUCGGACAUCGUGACGAUAGUGCAAUGGCAUAAGCGUGCUUAACUGCGAGACUGACAAGUCGAGCAGAUGCGAAAGCAGGACAUAGUGAUCCGGUGGUUCUGUAUGGAAGGGCCAUCGCUCAACGGAUAAAAGGUACUCUGGGGAUAACAGGCUGAUACCGCCCAAGAGUUCAUAUCGACGGCGGUGUUUGGCACCUCGAUGUCGGCUCAUCUCAUCCUGGGGCUGUAGCCGGUCCCAAGGGUAUGGCUGUUCGCCAUUUAAAGAGGUACGUGAGCUGGGUUUAAAACGUCGUGAGACAGUUUGGUCCCUAUCUUCCGUGGGCGCUGCAGAUUUGAGGAAGCCUGCUCCUAGUACGAGAGGACCGGAGUGGACACACCUCUGGUGUAUCGGUUGUCACGCCAGUGGCAUUGCCGAGUAGCUAAGUGUGGAAGAGAUAACCGCUGAAAGCAUCUAAGCGGGAAACUCGUUUCAAGAUGAGAUCUGCCGGGGCCUUGAGCCCCUAAAGAGCC
rnacentral:rRNA from 1 species